GUUUUUAAGGUUGGGUUAUGGAUAUUUGAUCCAGCCAGUGGGUUAAUUCUCCCACCACCAGCGCAUGAAGUCCACAAGAACAUGAGCAAGUGUCGAGCCAUGGCAACUUAAUAGUUUUCUAGUAUGACUUAGUGACUGACUGAGUGGAAAAUAGCUAACGUUAUUUUGACAAACUAAGGGUGUUUUGGCUGACUGAAAACCAGGCCAAGGCCAAUGGACGGCUUUGUAAAGGAUACGCUGAAUGAGUGGAACCUGGCCUCUUUAAUUCCAAAGUUUGAGGUGCAUGUAUUCAACAAGCUUUGGAUGAAGGACUUUCACAGGGCCGCCAUCUCCAGAGUUCUCAAAAAGGCAAUAGUUCUGAACUGGGUUUGAUUUAGUUUUUGUUGUUUUAAUUAUAGAAAUGUUGUUAAUUAUCUUUUAAACUUCCAUAGGUUGAAAUCUAUUGCUCAGUUAUCAUGUACAUGAUUCUGUAGUUGCCCCUUUAAACAUCCUAAGGUCAAAAUCACCAUAGUGUUCACAUUUCUCUGAUGUAAAUGUUGUAGCUACAUACAAAGAUUAAAUGAACAAUUUGUGAAAUAUCCAGUCAUUGCU